rnacentral:rRNA from 1 species
UAACGCGUAGGUAACCUGCCUUGUAGCGGGGGAUAACUAUUGGAAACGAUAGCUAAUACCGCAUAACAAUGGAUGACACAUGUCAUUUAUUUGAAAGGGGCAAUUGCUCCACUACAAGAUGGACCUGCGUUGUAUUAGCUAGUAGGUGAGGUAACGGCUCACCUAGGCGACGAUACAUAGCCGACCUGAGAGGGUGAUCGGCCACACUGGGACUGAGACACGGCCCAGACUCCUACGGGAGGCAGCAGUAGGGAAUCUUCGGCAAUGGGGGCAACCCUGACCGAGCAACGCCGCGUGAGUGAAGAAGGUUUUCGGAUCGUAAAGCUCUGUUGUAAGUCAAGAACGAGUGUGAGAGUGGAAAGUUCACACUGUGACGGUAGCUUACCAGAAAGGGACGGCUAACUACGUGCCAGCAGCCGCGGUAAUACGUAGGUCCCGAGCGUUGUCCGGAUUUAUUGGGCGUAAAGCGAGCGCAGGCGGUUUGAUAAGUCUGAAGUUAAAGGCUGUGGCUCAACCAUAGUUCGCUUUGGAAACUGUCAAACUUGAGUGCAGAAGGGGAGAGUGGAAUUCCAUGUGCAGCGGUGAAAUGCGUAGAUAUAUGGAGGAACACCGGUGGCGAAAGCGGCUCUCUGGUCUGUAACUGACGCUGAGGCUCGAAAGCGUGGGGAGCGAACAGGAUUAGAUACCCUGGUAGUCCACGCCGUAAACGAUGAGUGCUAGGUGU